CGAGUGGCGAACGGGUGAGUAACGCGUGAGGAACCUGCCUCAUACAGGGGGAUAACAGUUGGAAACGGCUGCUAAUACCGCAUAAGCGCACAGUACCGCAUGGUACGGUGUGAAAAACUCCGGUGGUAUGAGAUGGACCCGCGUCUGGUUAGGUAGUUGGUGGGGUAACGGCCUACCAAGCCGACGAUCAGUAGCCGACCUGAGAGGGUGACCGGCCACAUUGGGACUGAGACACGGCCCAA
rnacentral:rRNA from 1 species